rnacentral:rRNA from 1 species
CUACGGGAUGCAGCAGUGGGGAAUAUUGGACAAUGGGCGCAAGCCUGAUGCAGCAACGCCGCGUGAGUGAAGAAGGCUCUUGGGUCGUAAAUCUCUUUCGGCUAGGAAGAAGGGUUUCCAGAAGAAACGCUGGAGAUUUGACGGUACUAGAAGAAGAAGCACUGGCUAAUUCCGUGCCAGCAGCCGCGGUAAUACGGAAGGUGCAAGCGUUGUUCGGAAUGACUGGGCGUAAAGCGCACGUAGGCGGAUUUGUAAGUCGAUUGUGAAAUCCCCGGGCUUAACCUGGGAACUGCAUUCGAAACUACAAAUCUUGAAUGCCUGAGGGGUUGGUGGAAUUCCAGGUGUAGGAGUGAAAUCCGUAGAUAUCUGGAGGAACACCGGAGGCGAAGGCGGCCAACUGGCAGUGCAUUGACGCUGAGGUGCGAAAGCGUGGGGAGCAAACAGGAUUAGAUACCCGGGUAGUC